GACGAACGCUGGCGGCGUGCUUAACACAUGCGAGUCGAACGGAAAGGCCCCUUUGGGGGUACUCGAGUGGCGAACGGGUGAGUAACACGUGAGUAACCUGCCCUUGACUUCGGGAUAACUUCAGGAAACUGGGGCUAAUACCGGAUAGGAAUCCUUGCUGCAUGGUGGGGGUUGGAAAGCUUCGGCGGUUUUGGAUGGACUCGCGGCUUAUCAGCUUGUUGGUGGGGUAGUGGCUUACCAAGGCUUUGACGGGUAGCCGGCCUGGGAGGGCGACCGGCCACAUUGGGACUGAGAUACGGCCCAGACUCCGACGGGAGGCAGCAGUGGGGAAUAUUGCACAAUGGGCGGCAGCCUGAUGCAGCAACGCCGCGUGCGGGAUGACGGCCUUCGGGUUGUAAACCGCUUUCAGCAGGGGCGAAGCUUGUGGUGACGGUACCUGCAGAAGAAGCACCGGCUAACUACGUG
rnacentral:rRNA from 1 species